AUUCAUAUUGGAGGGUUCCUACAUUCAUCAUGCCUGUGAUGGAGGAUCAACAGGAAUAAAGGGGAACUUUUCAAAGUUUUAAGGGUGAAUACGAUGGCCAGAAAUGAAGGAUGAUGCAGUAAGAUAGAAAAGAAUUAAUCCAGAAAUUAAUUGAAGCAGUAAAAAGAGUGCAAUAAAGCGAGCCAAUUUAAAGUCUAAAAGUGAAAAGUUCAAGGACUCAAACUUCGAGAUUGCCAUUAGAAACUGGGAUGGCUAGAGUGCAGGAGAGGGCAAUGGAAUUCCAUGUGUAGCGGUAAAAUGCGUAGAUAUAUGGAGGAACACCAGUGGCGAAGGCGGUUGCCUGGCCUGUAACUGACGCUGAAGCACGAAAGCGUGGGGAGCAAAUAGGAUUAGAUACCCUAGUAGUCCACGCUGUAAACGAUGAUUACUAAGUGUUGGGGAAACUCAGUGCUGCAGUUAACGCAAUAAGUAAUCCGCCUGGGGAGUAUGCACGCCAAGGUGUGAAAACUCAAA
rnacentral:rRNA from 1 species